rnacentral:tRNA from 1 species
GCAGUGGUGGUUUAGUGGUAGAAUUCUUGCCUUUCAUGUGGGAGACCUGGGUUUGAUUCCCAGCCAGUGCA